rnacentral:rRNA from 1 species
UACGUAGGGGGCUAGCGUUGUCCGGAAUCAUUGGGCGUAAAGCGCGCGUAGGCGGCCCGGUAAGUCCGCUGUAAAAGUCCAGGGCUCAACCCUGGAAAGCCGGUGGAUACUGUCGGGCUCGAGUCCGGAAGAGGCGAGUGGAAUUCCUGGUGUAGCGGUGGAAUGCGCAGAUAUCAGGAGGAACACCAAUAGCGAAAGCAGCUCUCUGGGACGGUACUGACGCUGAGACGCGAAAGCGUGGGGAGCGAACAGG